GCGCUAGCUACUGUAGUACGUAUUAUAAAAUUUGAACGAUAAAUUGAAGAUUAGCGUGGUUCCUGCUCAAAAUGAAACGCAAAUUCAUGAAGUGUUCCAUAUUUUU